rnacentral:rRNA from 1 species
AUUGAACGCUGGCGGCAUGCCUUACACAUGCAAGUCGAACGGCAGCACGGGUGCUUGCACCUGGUGGCGAGUGGCGAACGGGUGAGUAAUACAUCGGAACAUGUCCUGUAGUGGGGGAUAGCCCGGCGAAAGCCGGAUUAAUACCGCAUACGAUCUACGGAUGAAAGCGGGGGACCUUCGGGCCUCGCGCUAUAGGGUUGGCCGAUGGCUGAUUAGCUAGUUGGUGGGGUAAAGGCCUACCAAGGCGACGAUCAGUAGCUGGUCUGAGAGGACGACCAGCCACACUGGGACUUAGACACGGCCCAGACUCCUACGGGAGGCAGCAGUGGGGAAUUUUGGACAAUGGGCGAAAGCCUGAUCCAGCAAUGCCGCGUGUGUGAAGAAGGCCUUCGGGUUGUAAAGCACUUUUGUCCGGAAAGAAAUCCUUGGCUCUAAUACAGUCGGGGGAUGACGGUACCGGAAGAAUAAGCACCGGCUAACUACGUG